CCCGCAGUGAGAGACAGCAUCCGAACCAGGACACGGGACCUAUCCUACCCGUAGCGCUGGGAAAUAAGGCAUGGAGGGGUCAAGACGGAGGGAUUAGUGUGACUUACUGCCCUUACACAGCAGACAGGAGGCCCAUCCCCUUCAAAAUAUAGUGUGUAUGCCCACAUCAGCCCCUAAGGCACUUGUUGAGAACAUAAAGAGUACCGUGAUGAAAUGCUUUGUGAUAUUUAACUGAUGCAUUAGGACUUUUAUACAUUAGAACUGGAUGUGCAUAUGAUAGAAAUGACAAUGCCGAGAUGUAUGUACAGAUUGUACCCCUACAUGACAAACGGGCACAAUAAGGCCGCAUAAACGCAAUACCGCAACCCCAGGGCAAACAACAGGCCCGGCUGUGAUGACCGCCCGCUCCCCCCUCCUGGAAUAUCCUCCCGAAUGUUACCCGGGGAACCGAUACAUAAACCACCACGGAUGGGUUCACUCCCCGCCCGCAACAACGCCC